rnacentral:rRNA from 1 species
AUUGAACGCUGGCGGCAGGCCUAACACAUGCAAGUCGAGCGGAUGAAGGGAGCUUGCUCCUGGAUUCAGCGGCGGACGGGUGAGUAAUGCCUAGGAAUCUGCCUGGUAGUGGGGGAUAACGUCCGGAAACGGGCGCUAAUACCGCAUACGUCCUGAGGGAGAAAGUGGGGGGUCUUCGGACCUCACGCUAUCAGAUGAGCCUAGGUCGGAUUAGCUAGUUGGUGGGGUAAAGGCCUACCAAGGCGACGAUCCGUAACUGGUCUGAGAGGAUGAUCAGUCACACUGGAACUGAGACACGGUCCAGACUCCUACGGGAGGCAGCAGUGGGGAAUAUUGGACAAUGGGCGAAAGCCUGAUCCAGCCAUGCCGCGUGUGUGAAGAGGGUCUUCGGAUUGUAAAGCACUUUAAGUUGGGAGGAAGGGCAGUAAGUUAAUACCUUGCUGUUUUGACGUUACCAACAGAAUAAGCACCGGCUAACUUCGUG